rnacentral:lncRNA from 1 species
UCUUUGGAAGGUAAUUAUGCCCGGAAAGAGGAGCCCGAGCUAGGCUGAUGGGGGCCCUCGUCCAUUGGUGAUGGACCAGGUGAUAGCAGGGGGAGGGUGUGAACACGUGCGUUGAAGAAAACGACCGGUGGGUGAGACGAGUUGCUCGGUUUCGUCGCUGGGUUCAGCCGUUCUGCCGGCGGCCAGAUCAUGUGGCUCCCGGCAAGGAGGAGCAGCCCGCCGCCACGCGGACCCUCGAGGACCACGGAGAUCACUGGGA